rnacentral:rRNA from 1 species
AUUGAACGCUGGCGGCAGGCCUAACACAUGCAAGUCGAGCGGGGUUUUCGGACCUAGCGGCGGACGGGUGAGUAAUGCGUAGGAAGCUACCCGAUAGAGGGGAUACCAGUUGGAAACGACUGUUAAUACCGCAUAAUGUCUACGGACCAAAGUGUGGGACCUUCGGGCCACAUGCUAUCGGAUGCGCCUACGUGGGAUUAGCUAGUUGGUGAGGUAAUGGCUCACCAAGGCGACGAUCCCUAGCUGGUUUAAGAGGAUGAUCAGCCACACUGGAACUGAGACACGGUCCAGACUCCUACGGGAGGCAGCAGUGGGGAAUAUUGGACAAUGGGCGCAAGCCUGAUCCAGCCAUGCCGCGUGUGUGAAGAAGGCCUUCGGGUUGUAAAGCACUUUCAGUAGGGAGGAAGCGUUGUGUGUUAAUAGUACACAGCGUUGACGUUACCUACAGAAGAAGCACCGGCUAACUCUGUGCCAGCCGCCGCGGUAACAC